CACGUAGGGCGCGAGCGUUGUCCGGAAUUAUUGGGCGUAAAGAGCUCGUAGGCGGCUUGUCGCGUCGAAUGUGAAAACCUGCAGCUCAACUGCAGGCUUGCAUUCGAUACGGGCAGGCUCGAGUGUGGUAGGGGAGAUCGAAUUCCUGGUGUAGCGGUGAAAUGCGCAGAUAUCAGGAGGAACACCGGUGGCGAAGGCGGAUC
rnacentral:rRNA from 1 species